GGGAGGUUUAGAAUGUUGAAGAUGUAACAUUGAGGUGGAUGGGAGGUUUAGAAUGUUGAAGACAUAACAUUGAAGUGGAUGGGAGGUUUUGAAUGUUGAAGACGUAACAUUGAAGUGGAUGGGAGGUUUAGAAUGUUGAAGACGUAACAUUGAAGUGGAUGGCAGGUUUAGAAUGUUGAAGACGUAACAUUGAAGUGGAUGGCAGGUUUAGAAUGUUGAAGACGUAACAUUGAAGUGGAUGGGAGGAUUAGAAUGUUGAAGACGUAACAUUGAAGUGGAUGGGAGGUUCAGAAUGUUGAAGACGUAACAUUGAAGUGGAUGGGAGGUUUAGAAUGUUGAAGAUGUAACAUUGAAGUGGAUGGGAGGUUUAGAAUGUUGAAGACGUAACAUUGAAGUGGAUGGGAGGUUUAGAAUGUUGAAGACGUAACAUUGAAGUGGAUGGGAGGUUUAGAAUGUUGAAGACGUAACAUUGAAGUGGA